AACGUAGGAGACAAACGUUAUCCGGAGUUACUGGGCGUAAAGGGCGUGCAGGUGGUCUGUUAAGUCUGGCGUGAAAGCUCUCGGCUAAACCGGGAGAGGUCGUUGGAUACUGGCGGACUAGAGGACGGUAGAGGCGUGUGGAAUUCCGGGUGUAGUGGUGAAAUGCGUAGAGAUCCGGAGGAACACCGGUGGCGAAGGCGGGUCUCUGGGCCGAUACUGACGCUGAGGAGCGAAAGCGUGGGGAGCAAACAGG
rnacentral:rRNA from 1 species